rnacentral:rRNA from 1 species
AGAGUUUGAUCAUGGCUCAGAUUGAACGCUGGCGGCAGGCCUAACACAUGCAAGUCGAACGGUAACAGGAAGAAGCUUGCUUCUUUGCUGACGAGUGGCGGACGGGUGAGUAAUGUCUGGGAAACUGCCUGAUGGAGGGGGAUAACUACUGGAAACGGUAGCUAAUACCGCAUAACGUCGCAAGACCAAAGAGGGGGACCUUCGGGCCUCUUGCCAUCGGAUGUGCCCAGAUGGGAUUAGCUAGUAGGUGGGGUAACGGCUCACCUAGGCGACGAUCCCUAGCUGGUCUGAGAGGAUGACCAGCCACACUGGAACUGAGACACGGUCCAGACUCCUACGGGAGGCAGCAGUGGGGAAUAUUGCACAAUGGGCGCAAGCCUGAUGCAGCCAUGCCGCGUGUAUGAAGAAGGCCUUCGGGUUGUAAAGUACUUUCAGCGGGGAGGAAGGGAGUAAAGUUAAUACCUUUGCUCAUUGACGUUACCCGCAGAAGAAGCACCGGCUAACUCCGUGCCAGCAGCCGCGGUAAUACGGAGGGUGCAAGCGUUAAUCGGAAUUACUGGGCGUAAAGCGCACGCAGGCGGUUUGUUAAGUCAGAUGUGAAAUCGCCGGGCUCAACCUGGGAACUGCAUCUGAUACUGGCAAGCUUGAGUCUCGUAGAGGGGGGUAGAAUUCCAGGUGUAGCGGUGAAAUGCGUAGAGAUCUGGAGGAAUACCGGUGGCGAAGGCGGCCCCCUGGACGAAGACUGACGCUCAGGUGCGAAAGCGUGGGGAGCAAACAGGAUUAGAUACCCUGGUAGUCCACGCCGUAAACGAUGUCGACUUGGAGGUUGUGCCCUUGAGGCGUGGCUUCCGGAGCUAACGCGUUAAGUCGACCGCCUGGGGAGUACGGCCGCAAGGUUAAAACUCAAAUGAAUUGACGGGGGCCCGCACAAGCGGUGGAGCAUGUGGUUUAAUUCGAUGCAACGCGAAGAACCUUACCUGGUCUUGACAUCCACGGAAGUUUUCAGAGAUGAGAAUGUGCCUUCGGGAACCGUGAGACAGGUGCUGCAUGGCUGUCGUCAGCUCGUGUUGUGAAAUGUUGGGUUAAGUCCCGCAACGAGCGCAACCCUUAUCCUUUGUUGCCAGCGGUCCGGCCGGGAACUCAAAGGAGACUGCCAGUGAUAAACUGGAGGAAGGUGGGGAUGACGUCAAGUCAUCGUGGCCCUUACGACCAGGGCUACACACGUGCUACAAUGGCGCAUACAAAGAGAAGCGACCUCGCGAGAGCAAGCGGACCUCAUAAAGUGCGUCGUAGUCCGGAUUGGAGUCUGCAACUCGACUCCAUGAAGUCGGAAUCGCUAGUAAUCGUGGAUCAGAAUGCCACGGUGAAUACGUUCCCGGGCCUUGUACACACCGCCCGUCACACCAUGGGAGUGGGUUGCAAAAGAAGUAGGUGGCUUAACCUUCGGGAGGGCGCUUACCACUUUGUGAUUCAUGACUGGGGUGAAGUCGGAACAAGGUAACCGUAGGAGAACCUGCGGUUG